CCUACGGGAGGCUGCAGUGGGGAAUAUUGGACAAUGGGGGCAACCCUGAUCCAGCCAUGCCGCGUGUGUGAAGAAGGCCCUCGGGUUGUAAAGCACUUUCAGUGAGGAAGAACGCCUGGUGGUUAAUACCCAUCAGGAAAGACAUCACUCACAGAAGAAGCACCGGCUAACUCCGUGCCAGCAGCCGCGGUAAUACGGAGGGUGCGAGCGUUAAUCGGAAUUACUGGGCGUAAAGCGCGCGUAGGUGGCUUGAUAAGCCGGUUGUGAAAGCCCCGGGCUCAACCUGGGAACGGCAUCCGGAACUGUCAAGCUAGAGUGCAGGAGAGGAAGGUAGAAGUCCCGGUGUAGCGGUGAAAUGCGUAGAGAUCGGGAGGAAUACCAGUGGCGAAGGCGGCCUUCUGGACUGACACUGACACUGAGGUGCGAAAGCGUGGGUAGCAAACAGGAUUAGAUACCCGAGUAGUC
rnacentral:rRNA from 1 species